rnacentral:misc_RNA from 1 species
GAUGAAGAACGUAGCGAAAUGCGAUAAGUAAUGUGAAUUGCAGAAUUCAGUGAAUCAUCGAAUCUUUGAACGCACAUUGUGCCCCUUGGUAUUCCGAGGGGCAUGCCCGUUCGAGCGUCAUUAUACCCCUCAAGCCUAGCUUGGUGUUGGGGCCUGCUGUUACCGGCAGCCCUUAAAAUCAGUGGCGGUGCCAUCUGGCUCUAAGCGUAGUAAUACUUCUCGCUACAGGGUCCCGGUGGAUGCUUGCCAUCAACCCCUAAUUUUCUAUGGUUGACCUCGGAUCGGGUAGGGAUACCCGCUGAACUUAAGCAUAUCAAUAAGCGGAGGA